UAUUGUUGUUGCAAAGUCUUGAAAUAUGGUGAUGCAAUAAUACUUUCGUGACAGCAAAGUCAUCAAAGAUCAUAUUACAGAAAUCAUAUUUAAAAUUAACUAAAAAUGGAUUGAGAAUAUGCUGCCAUUGCCAGAAUUUAACAACAGAUAAAAAGGAUUACUUGUAUAAAUCAUAGUGUAAAAACCGUUGCCGCUGCAAUUGUAGACGAGAGAAUAACUCAAAUAAGAGCAGGAAUUACAUGAGUAGCCCUACAUUAGGAUUCACCUCAUGACUUUACUUGCACUGGUCUGUCUGUAAUGUGUCUCUGGUGGCAGUGUGAGAACAAUUACUAGAAGAUCUUUUACAGUCUUUUCAAGUAGAAAAACAGCAUUUACAACUUGCAUGCACUUAAAGAGUAAAUAUUAAUGAAUGUAUUUUUCUUGUAUUUCUGGGUAGGGUUUUAUCUCCUCCCUCAUCUCUUCUCAAACUGUGAAACUCAGGAAGUGUCUGAUGUCGUGCACACAGCACUGUUAAAACAGUCUAUUAAUGUGUCAGUAUGGGGUCCAGUGCACUGCCUCUCAUACUCUUGCUGAUGUCCUUCAUCCAGUCUGGAUUCACUGAAGUGAAACCUGUAGUUCAUGUUCAUCCUGAUAAAAAUGUGUUCAGAGGAGAGAAAGUCACUCUCACAUGUGACAUACAGCAGACAAGAGACUGGCAGUACAACUGGUAUAAAGACGGAAAUAAAGUUAACAGUGCAGGAGAGACAAGAACUAUAUAAUCUCAUCUGUGGAUCAGUCUCAUAGUGGUGUGUACAGCUGUGAUGGAUCUCAGUCAAAAGCUCCACAUCAGUCAGAUCCAUUUCAGUCAGAGUCCAGUGAUGGAGUUAAACUGACAGUAUCAGAUUUACCCACAUCUACACUGACUGUGACACCAGACAGUCCUGUAUUCACUGGAGAGACAGUCAAUCUGAAGUGUGUGAUAAAGUCUGAUCACAGUAACUGGAGAUAUGAGUGGUAUAAAGGCAGCACUAA